rnacentral:ncRNA from 1 species
UCUUAAGUACGUGCCAUAUUAAGGCGAAACCGCGAAUGGCUCAUUAAUUCAGUUAUGGUUCCUUGGAUCUUACCUUACCACUUGGAUAACUGUGGCAAUUUUUGAGCUAAUACAUGCAGCAGAGCUCCGACCCUCUGGCGACGAGCGCUUUACGAUUAGUAAUUGCUACGUCAUUGUAUUUAUGCAGGGUUGCUAGAACAAAAGAGUAAUAUCGAUAACCAAAAAGAGCUAACGUUUUAGCCGCAUUUCAUGAAAUAAAGCAUAAAACGUGUUCCAUACUCUCUGAUUUAG